UGGUGAGUAACGCGUGAGGAACCUGCCUUCCANAGGGGGACAACAGUUGGAAACGACUGCUAAUACCGCAUGACACAUUUGAAUCGCAUGGUUUGAAUGUCAAAGAUUUAUCGCUGGAAGAUGGCCUCGCGUCUGAUUAGCUAGUUGGUAGGGUAACGGCCUACCAAGGCGACGAUCAGUAGCCGGACUGAGAGGUUGACCGGCCACAUUGGGACUGAGAUACGGCCCAGACUCCUACGGGAGGCAGCAG
rnacentral:rRNA from 1 species